GGGUUGUGAGGUUAAGCGACUAAGCGUACACGGUGGAUGCCCUGGCAGUCAGAGGCGAUGAAGGACGUGCUAAUCUGCGAUAAGCGUCGGUAAGGUGAUAUGAACCGUUAUAACCGGCGAUUUCCGAAUGGGGAAACCCAGUGUGUUUCGACACACUAUCAUUACGUGAAUACAUAGCGUAAUGAAGCGAACCGGGGGAACUGAAACAUCUAAGUACCCCGAGGAAAAGAAAUCAACCGAGAUUCCCCCAGUAGCGGCGAGCGAACGGGGAGCAGCCCAGAGCCUGAAUCAGCAUGUGUGUUAGUGGAAGCGUCUGGAAAGGCGCGCGAUACAGGGUGACAGCCCCGUACACAAAAGCGCAUAUGCUGUGAGCUCGAUGAGUAGGGCGGGACACGUGGUAUCCUGUCUGAAUAUGGGGGGACCAUCCUCCAAGGCUAAAUACUCCUGACUGACCGAUAGUGAACCAGUACCGUGAGGGAAAGGCGAAAAGAACCCCGGCGAGGGGAGUGAAAAAGAACCUGAAACCGUGUACGUACAAGCAGUGGGAGCACCCUU
rnacentral:rRNA from 1 species